rnacentral:snRNA from 1 species
GUGCUCGCUUCGGCAGCACAUAUGCUAAAAUUGUAACGAUACAGAGAAGAUUAGCAUGGCUCCUACGCAAGGAUGACAUGCAAAUUUGUGAAGCUUUCCAUAUUUUU